rnacentral:rRNA from 1 species
GACGAACGCUGGCGGCGUGCUUAACACAUGCAAGUCGAACGGAAAGGCCCUGCUUUUGUGGGGUGCUCGAGUGGCGCACGGGUGUGUAACACGUGAGUAACCUGCCCUUGACUUUGGGAUAACUUCAGGAAACUGGGGCUAAUACCGGAUAGGAGCUCCUGCUGCAUGGUGGGGGUUGGAAAGUUUCGGCGGUUGGGGAUGGACUCGCGGCUUACCAGCUUGUUGGUGGGGUAGUGGCUUACCAAGGCUUUGACGGGUAGCCGGCCUGAGAGGGUGACCGGCCAAAUUGGGACUGAGAUACGGCCCAGACGCCUACGGGAGGCAGCAGUGGGGAAUAUUGCACAGUGGGCGGAAGCCUGAGGCAGCAACGCCGCGUGCGGGAUGACGGCCUUCGGGUGGUAAACCGCUUUCGCCUGUAACGAAGCGUGAGUGACGGUAAUGGGUAAAGAAGCACCGGCUAACUACGUG